rnacentral:lncRNA from 1 species
GAAUCGCCGCUGCCCUGAGCCACUCGCCGCGCGCCUUGCGGAUUCGGGGGUGGGGUCCACCGAACAAAUUCAUCCCCUCCCUGCGUUCCGUUGCGCACGGCUAACGCUGCGGAAUCCGCGGAGGAUCUCCCGCACUUGUCGCGCAGCUUGACCGAACUCGUCCUCGCCCCUGGGUAUAAAUCCGUGGCCGCGGCAUCCCCUGGGCCAUUGGCGAGCUGCAUCACCGAACAGAGGGUUAGAGAAAGGAAGCGAGAUCCACCGCGAACGAAUCACAGGUAUGCCAUCGAUAGAGACUCGACAGCGGGUCUGGGAGCUUCGUCGGUUACCCUGGGACGCGUUCGAUGCGGCACCGGGGUCGAUGGCCAACCUGGUGGUGGGGAAUUUCUCGCCGUCGCGCAGCGACGCCAUGAAUCCGCUGUGCGCCGUGGCCAAGCUUCAUCCGUACCUCAAUGCCGGUAAGAAUACAUCCAUUGUGAUCGCGAUGCCGCGCACACCGUGUAGCUCCGUUCAAUUUGACUGUGGUGCUCGGGGGAGGCCAAUUAGUGCCACGGUCGCGUUCUCCACCGUGUGGCCAUGGCGCCGCCUCUGCGCAGUUCCUAGGGGGUUGAAGAAGAGUGCGGGCCGUUAGAUCCAAAUGGGCGGUGCAGAUUAAAACCUAUGUACUGCUUUGGGCCAACCCGAUCCAGACCAUGGAUCUAUUGAUGUGUGGCUCGGGUUGUUUUCCCUUCAUGCUCACAAUCCGAUUCGUCCAGAUCUAAUCCAACGGCUGAGACUUAAAGAUACCCCUUCGCGAUGACAGUUUUAUUAAAGAGCCCCUGUAGUAUUCUCAAAUCAACCCGCCAUCCCUCGAUCGUAAGAAUAUUUCACAGAUAAGUCCCUGGAAUUAGCAGAAGAGCCCCUGGAAGUAUUAUUUAGGUAUAAAUUUAAUAGUAAAAUACCUAUAACCUUGUUUAAUCCAUAUCUCAUCCGUUUUAACUUCAAAUUGAUCCAUUCCAGUUGCAUUAAUUUUGUUUUAAUACUGUUUAUCACCUAGUACCUUUGUUUAGCCAUGAAACUUAAUUUAAAAUCAUUCGCUUGAAUGACUCUAUUGUAGGUACUAAAUAACUCCAGAAAUUCAUACCUUGGUAACCGUAGCUCCGAAUGUAGUAAUUCUUGUUCCUACGAUCUCGUUGCGCAGCGUAGAAUAUUCUUAUAUAGUUUAUUCUUAUGUUUGGUGUGAUGUUAAUUUUGCCUAUACCAUGUAUGUUUGUAUUGCUACGACUAGCGCGAGGUCACGUGUCAUCUGAAGAGCAAGUUGGUACCUGGAAUCUCAAGUCCCAGGCAAGUUGUGCCCUUGAUAACUUCUUUUACCCACUCAUGUUCUAAUUAAUCAUAAUGAUCUGCAU